rnacentral:siRNA from 1 species
UAAGUUGCCUUUGUAAUUACG